rnacentral:rRNA from 13 species
UUAAAUUGAAGAGUUUGAUCAUGGCUCAGAUUGAACGCUGGCGGCAGGCCUAACACAUGCAAGUCGAACGGUAACAGGAAGCAGCUUGCUGCUUCGCUGACGAGUGGCGGACGGGUGAGUAAUGU